rnacentral:rRNA from 1 species
GAUGAACGCUGGCGGCGUGCUUAACACAUGCAAGUCGAACGAUGAAGCCCAGCUUGCUGGGUGGAUUAGUGGCGAACGGGUGAGUAACACGUGAGUAACCUGCCCUUGACUCUGGGAUAAGCCUGGGAAACUGGGUCUAAUACUGGAUAUGACUUCGCAUCGCAUGGUGGGGGGUGGAAAGAUUUAUUGGUCUUGGAUGGACUCGCGGCCUAUCAGCUUGUUGGUGAGGUAAUGGCUCACCAAGGCGACGACGGGUAGCCGGCCUGAGAGGGUGACCGGCCACACUGGGACUGAGACACGGCCCAGACUCCUACGGGAGGCAGCAGUGGGGAAUAUUGCACAAUGGGCGCAAGCCUGAUGCAGCGACGCCGCGUGAGGGAUGACGGCCUUCGGGUUGUAAACCUCUUUCAGUAGGGAAGAAGCGAGAGUGACGGUACCUGCAGAAGAAGCGCCGGCUAACUACGUG